rnacentral:rRNA from 1 species
UGGGGAAUAUUGCACAAUGGGCGCAAGCCUUAUGCAGCCAUGCCGCGUGUGUGAAGAAGGCCUUCGGGGUUUAAAGCACUUUUAGCGGGGAGGAAGGCGAUAAGGUUAAUAACCUUGUCGAUUGACGUUACCCGCAGAAGAAGCACCGGCUAACUCCGUGCCAGCAGCCGCGGUAAUACGGAGGGUGCAAGCGUUAAUCGGAAUUACUGGGCGUAAAGCGCACGCAGGCGGUCUGUCAAGUCGGAUGUGAAAUCCCCGGGCUCAACCUGGGAAUUGCAUUCGAAACUGGCAGGCUAGAGUCUGGUAGAGGGGGGUAGAAUUCCAGGUGUAGCGGUGAAAUGCGUAGAGAUCUGGAGGAAUACCGGUGGCGAAGGCGGCCCCCGGGACAAAGACUGACGCUCAGGUGCGAAAGCGUGGGGAGCAAACAGG